UAUUCCUACGGGGGGCAGCAGUGAGGAAUAUUGGUCAAUGGGCUUACGCCUGAACCAGCCAAGUCGCGUGAGGGAAGACUGCCCUAUGGGUUGUAAACCUCUUUUGUCAGGGAGCAAUUGGCGCUACGUGUAGCGUUAUCGAGAGUACCUGAAGAAAAAGCAUCGGCUAACUCCGUGCCAGCAGCCGCGGUAAUACGUAUGGUGCAAGCGUUAUCCGGAUUUACUGGGUGUAAAGGGAGCGCAGGCGGCGCGUUAAGCCUGGUGUGAAAGCCCGCGGCCCAACCGCGGGACUGCAUUGGGAACUG
rnacentral:rRNA from 1 species